GAGGUUUUUGUUCGGCUGAACAUAUGAAAUGUAUCACUGUGGUAUUCGGAAAAGGAACAAAACUCAUUGUGAAUGAUGCUGCUGCUGCUGCUCCUGUGCUGAACAUCCUCCGUCCGUUCAGAGAAGAGCUGAGCUCCAGUAAACUCACUCUGGUGUGUCUGAUCAAUCACAUGUCUGGGGCUUUUGCUGAUGUGCGCUGGCUUGUGAACGGGAACUCAGUUACUGAAGGCGUCUUCACUGGAUCUGCUGAACAGCAGCCUGAUAAGAAAUUCAAGAUGAGCAGUUAUUUAACCCUUGAGAGCUCAGAGUGGGACAAAGUCACACAGCUGACAUGUGAAGCAUCUGCUGCCUCCAAAACCUCCACAAAAAGCAUCAAGAAAUCUGACUGCAGCUACUGAACUGCUUGAUCUCCUCUUGAUUUAAGUGAUAGCAUUUCAAUUUGUUUGCAUGGAGUAGAAAACAUUAAAUAUUAAAAAUAAAGUGCCUUACUGUAGUUGCUUCAUGUUUAAAUGCACUGUGCUUUAUAAACUCCAAUAAACUGCUUGUUAAUCAAA